UACGGAGGAUCCAAGCGUUAUCCGGAUUUAUUGGGUUUAAAGGGUGCGUAGGCGGCCUAUUAAGUCAGGGGUGAAAGACGGUAGCUUUACUAUCGCAGUGCCUUUGAUACUGAUGGGCUUGAAUGGACUAGAGGUAGGCGGAAUGUGACAAGUAGCGGUGAAAUGCAUAGAUAUGUCACAGAACACCAAUUGCGAAGGCAGCUUACUAUGGUUUAAUUGACGCUGAGGCACGAAAGCGUGGGGAUCAAACAGG
rnacentral:rRNA from 1 species